AUACGUAGGGGGCGAGCGUUGUCCGGAAUGAUUGGGCGUAAAGGGCGCGUAGGCGGCCCGGUAAGUCUGGAGUGAAAGUCCUGUUUUUAAGAUGGGAAUUGCUUUGGAUACUGUCGGGCUUGAGUGCAGGAGAGGUAAGUGGAAUUCCCAGUGUAGCGGUGAAAUGCGUAGAGCUUGGGAGGAACACCAGUGGCGAAGGCGACUUACUGGACUGUAACUGACGCUGAGGCGCGAAAGUGUGGGGAGCAAACAGGAUUAGAUACCCUGGUAGUCCACACUGUAAACGAUGAAUGCUAGGUGUAGGGGGUAUCGACCCCUUCUGUGCCGCAGUCAACACAAUAAGCAUUCCGCCUGGGGAGUACGGCCGCAAGGUUGAAACUCAAAUGAAUUGACGGGG
rnacentral:rRNA from 1 species